CAUGCAAGUCGAGCGCAUGAACCUAUCUGAUCCCUUCGGGGUGACGAUAGGGGACUGAGCGGCGGACGGGUGAGUAACACGUGGGUAACCUACCUUCGAGAUCGGGAUAACUCCGGGAAACCGGGGCUAAUACCGAAUAAUCUGUUGGACCGCAUGGUCCGACAGUAAAAGGCGGCUUCUGCCGUCACUCGAAGAUGGACCCGCGGCGCAUUAGCUAGUUGGUAAGGUAACGGCUUACCAAGGCGACGAUGCGUAGCCGACCUGAGAGGGUGAUCGGCCACACUGGGACUGAGACACGGCCCAGACUCCUACGGGAGGCAGCAGUAGGGAAUCUUCCGCAAUGGACGAAAGUCUGACGGAGCAACGCCGCGUGAACGAUGAAGGUCUUCGGAUCGUAAAGUUCUGUUGUUAGGGAAGAACAAGUACCAGAGGAAAUGCUGGUACCUUGACGGUACCUAACCAGAAAGCCCCGGCUAACUACGUGCCAGCAGCCGCGGUAAUACGUAGGGGGCAAGCGUUGUCCGGAAUUAUUGGGGCGUAAAGCGCGCGCAGGCGGUUCCUUAAGUCUGAUGUGAAAGCCCACAGCUCAACUGUGGAGGGCCAUUGGAAACUGGGGAACUUGAGUACAGAAGAGGAGAGUGGAAUUCCACGUGUAGCGGUGAAAUGCGUAGAUAUGUGGAGGAACACCAGUGUGAAGGC
rnacentral:rRNA from 1 species